AUGGCGAUGAUGGGGUCGACGGCGGCGGUGCUCCUGGCGCUGGUGGUGGUGGCGUCGCCGCUGCUGCUGGCGGCGUCGCAGCCGGUGGGGGCGCCGAGCAUGGCGCCGCCAGCCGCGGCGCCGGCGACGAACAACUCGCGGCUGGAGAAGGCGUACGUGGCGCUGCAGGCGCUGAAGAAGGCCAUCACGGACGACCCCAAGAACCUGACCAAGAACUGGUGCGGCCCCGACGUGUGCAGCUACUACGGCGUCUACUGCGCGACGGCGCCCGACGACCCGUGCGCGCGCACCGUGGCCUCCGUGGACCUCAACCACGGCGACCUGGCCGGCACGCUGCCGGAGGAGCUGGGCCUGCUCUCCGACCUCGCCGUCUUCCACCUCAACUCCAACCGCUUCUGCGGCGCGCUCCCGGACGCGCUCCGCUCCCUCCACCUCCUCCACGAGAUCGACGUCAGCAACAACCAGCUCACCGGCAACUUCCCCUCUCAGCUCCUCUGCCUCCCCAACGUCCAGUACGUCGACAUCAGGUUUAACAACUUCUGCGGCGAGGUGCCGGCGGCCAUCUUCGAGAAGAAGAUCGACGCGCUCUUCAUCAACAACAACAACUUCGAGUUCACGCUGCCGGCCAACUUCAGCAGCUCCACGGCGUCGGUGAUCGUGCUGGCCAACCUGCCGCGGGUCGGGGGGUGCCUGCCCAGCAGCAUCGGCGACAUGGCCGGGACACUCAACGAGCUGAUCCUCCUCAACAGCGGCAUCUCCUCCUGCAUCCCGCCGGAGAUCGGCAAGCUGGACAAGCUCACGGUGCUCGACCUCAGCUCCAACGGCAUCGUCGGCAAGCUGCCGGACACCAUCGGCAACAUGCGCGCCCUCGAGCAGCUCAACGUCGCGAACAACAUGCUCGCCGGCGAGAUCCCCGAGAGCAUCUGCGCGCUGCCAAACCUCAAGAACUUCACCUACUCCCACAACUUCUUCUGCGGCGAGCCGCACCGGUGCCUCGAGGUGCCCCACAUCGACGACCGGCAGAACUGCAUCGCCGGACGCCCCGACCAGCGGCCUGGCGAGCAGUGCAUCGAGUUCCUCCACCGGCCGCCGGCACAGUGUGCUGCGCACGGGCAAUCGUCGCCACCGCCGAUGUACGCGCCUCCACCGCCGAUGUACUGA
rnacentral:rRNA from 1 species